rnacentral:lncRNA from 1 species
AACUACUUACAUAUUUCUAAGGCCCUAGUAAUGUAUACAAAUAAAUGUUAUGUGACAUAUAUGGGAUGUCAGGUGAUACCCCUCAUUUAUUAGUAGAUCAGUCAUUGCUACAAAUGGAGAUGAGAGAACCAUUGAAUCCAAAGAAUAAAGAAGAAAAAGGAGAAGCUUAAGAGAAGGAGGAGCCAAAAGGAAAUAAGAUCGGUAUCGCUGGUUCGGAGCACAUGAUUGGAUGGGACAAAAUCACACCCAUUUACUGACUCGUCUCCAUAGCCACUGAGAUCCCUAACCAUAUUUUUGAAACUGUUCUCAAAGCGAACCGCAAACUUAAGAAGAGAGCCCAAUGGUUCCGAUCUAUAGCUAAACCCCACCCAUAUGUCGCUCCUCUUCACCGAUAGACCUUCGUUGCCAUGCCGUUAGACUGGAAACCCUAUACCGCAUUGAAUAUGUAUAAAAAAUUGAAGAAGGCUUAGGGGGUUCUAGUUCAAAUAUGCCCCACAGAUUUCAAAGGAGAAGUCGAAACCAUUGCACCACCGCAAACCACCGUGCGUCACACAGCCGUUCCAGAUCCAAAAUACCACUGCUAUCGGAAAAUUGAGAAGGUCGUCAAUGAAACACAUGAUGAAAAGAAAAACAAGUAAAAGAAACGUUUUCUUGACACCAGAGAAAAUUUGUGUCGGAGAGGUGAAUGACGACAAAAAGAUGUCUGCAAUUUAUAGUAUUGGUAUGAACGUUUUUAUUUUUAUUUCUAUGUUCGAAAUUAGAAUUGAUUUAUUUUUGUUCAAACUCGGCAGUUGAAAUAGUGGUAAGAAAGCACGAAAAUAGUCAGCAGUUCGGAAAACACUCUUAAAGUGCACAUUGUUGAAAAACAGUGUCGGUUUUAUUUACUCUUAGAGUGUAAAUAAUCUACAACCAUAUGUAAGUUAAACACAUCACUGC